GAUGAACGCUAGCGGGAGGCUUAAUACAUGCAAGUCGAACGGCAACAGGACGUAUAGUAAUAUAAGUUGCUGGCGAGUGGCGCACGGGUGAGUAACGCGUACACAACCUACCCUUAAGAGGGGGAUAACUCAGAGAAAUUUGAGAUAAUACCCCAUAAUAUCAAAUAUUUGCAUAGAUAUAUGAUUAAAGUUCCGGCGCUUAAGGAUGGGUGUGCGUUAGAUUAGGUAGUUGGUGAGGUAACGGCUCACCAAGCCGACGAUCUAUAGGGGCGUGAGAGCGUGAUCCCCCACACGGGUACUGAGACACGGACCCGACUCCUACGGGAGGCAG
rnacentral:rRNA from 1 species